GGCGAUUGGGCCCGAGUUUGAUCCUGGCUCAGAGCGAACGCUGGCGGCAGGCUUAACACAUGCAAGUCGAGCGGGCGUAGCAAUACGUCAGCGGCAGACGGGUGAGUAACGCGUGGGAACGUACCUUUUGGUUCGGAACAACACAGGGAAACUUGUGCUAAUACCGGAUAAGCCCUUACGGGGAAAGAUUUAUCGCCGAAAGAUCGGCCCGCGUCUGAUUAGCUUGUUGGUGAGGUAACGGCUCACCAAGGCAACGAUGGGUAGCUGGUCUGAGAGGACGAUCAGCCACACUGGGACUGAGACACGGCCCAGACUCCUACGGGAGGCAGCAGUGGGGAAUCUUGCGCAACGCGCGAAAGCGUGACGCAGCAAUGCCGCGUGAGUGAAGAAGGCCUUCGGGUUGUAAAGCUCUUUUGUCAGGGAAGAAAAGGGUUCGGCUAAUAUCCGGGCCUCAUGACGGUACCUGAAGAAUAAGCACCGGCUAACUACGUGCCAGCAGCCGCGGUAAUAAG
rnacentral:rRNA from 1 species